GUGCUUAACACAUGCAAGUCGAACGGAAAGGCCCUGCUUUUGUGGGGUGCUCGAGUGGCGAACGGGUGAGUAACACGUGAGUAACCUGCCCUUGACUUUGGGAUAACUUCAGGAAACUGGGGCUAAUACCGGAUAGGAGCUCCUGCUGCAUGGUGGGGGUUGGAAAGUUUCGGCGGUUGGGGAUGGACUCGCGGCUUAUCAGCUUGUUGGUGGGGUAGUGGCUUACCAAGGCUUUGACGGGUAGCCGGCCUGAGAGGGUGACCGGCCACAUUGGGACUGAGAUACGGCCCAGACUCCUACGGGAGGCAGCAGUGGGGAAUAUUGCACAAUGGGCGGAAGCCUGAUGCAGCAACGCCGCGUGCGGGAUGACGGCCUUCGGGUUGUAAACCGCUUUCGCCUGUGACGAAGCGUGAGUGACGGUAAUGGGUAAAGAAGCACCGGCUAACUACGUGCCAGCAGCCGCGGUGAUACGUAGGGUGCGAGCGUUGUCCGGAUUUAUUGGGCGUAAAGGGCUCGUAGGUGGUUGAUCGCGUCGGAAGUGUAAUCUUGGGGCUUAACCCUGAGCGUGCUUUCGAUACGGGUUGACUUGAGGAAGGUAGGGGAGAAUGGAAUUCCUGGUGGAGCGGUGGAAUGCGCAGAUAUCAGGAGGAACACCAGUGGCGAAGGCGGUUCUCUGGGCCUUUCCUGACGCUGAGGAGCGAAAGCGUGGGGAGCGAACAGGCUUAGAUACCCUGGUAGUCCACGCUGUAAACGGUGGGUACUAGGUGUGGGGUCCAUUCCACGGGUUCCGUGCCGUAGCUAACGCUUUAAGUACCCCGCCUGGGGAGUACGGCCGCAAGGCUAAAACUCAAAGGAAUUGACGGGGCCCCGCACAAGCGGCGGAGCAUGCGGAUUAAUUCGAUGCAACGCGUAGAACCUUACCUGGGUUUGACAUGGAUCGGGAGUGCUCAGAGAUGGGUGUGCCUCUUUUGGGGUCGGUUCACAGGUGGUGCAUGGCUGUCGUCAGCUCGUGUCGUGAGAUGUUGGGUUAAGUCCCGCAACGAGCGCAACCCUUGUUCACUGUUGCCAGCACGUUAUGGUGGGGACUCAGUGGAGACCGCCGGGGUCAACUCGGAGGAAGGUGGGGAUGACGUCAAGUCAUCAUGCCCCUUAUGUCCAGGGCUUCACGCAUGCUACAAUGGCUGGUACAGAGAGUGGCGAGCCUGUGAGGGUGAGCGAAUCUCGGAAAGCCGGUCUCAGUUCGGAUUGGGGUCUGCAACUCGACCUCAUGAAGUCGGAGUCGCUAGUAAUCGCAGAUCAGCAACGCUGCGGUGAAUACGUUCCCGGGGCUUGUACACACCGCCCGUCAAGUCAUGAAAGUUGGUAACACCCGAAGCCGGUGGCCUAACCGAAGUGGGGGAGCCGUCGAAGGUGGGACUGGUGAUUAGGACUAAAU
rnacentral:rRNA from 1 species